ensembl:lncRNA
GUGACAGUCGAGAUCGAGAACAAGAAAGAAGUGAGACAGAGAAGCACGAUGGAUGAAUUCAGAUGGAUUCAAAUGUUUUUAUGUCUGAUGAUUCAGAUUGCAGUCUUCUCAACAGUAUCUGUAAAUGAAACAUCCAUGUUUAUGAAAGUUGGAGGUGACGUCACUCUGCCUUGUCUAAAUGUGAUAGAUGAGCAGAAUAACUGUGAUGGUACUAUGUGGGUCUUUGCUUCAAGAAACAGAGAAACAGUAGAGCUGAUCAGACUUGGACAGAUUGUUGAAAAAGCCAAAACUAAAUCAGACAGACUGAGUGUUACAGCGAACUGUUCUCUGCUUAUAAAGAAGCUCACAGUUGAGGAUGUUGGUCUUUAUUACUGUCAACAAUACAAAGUCGAGGAAACACCAUCUAAACACACUCUGGUUCAUCAGUCUUUGGUUGAUCUCUCUGUUAUUACCUUGACUGAACAUAAGGACACUGAGAAGGUGACGUUAAGCUGCUCUGUGGUGACAUAUGCAGAGUGUCAUCACACAGUGAAGUGGCUGCUUAAAGGUCAAGCAGUGGACAAAGAGUACAAACAAAUAGUGACUUCACAGACUGACUGCUCCACCACUGUAUCUAUUCUGAAGUAUAAUUAUUUAUACUCAUCACGUCAUAAAAUACUGAAGUGUGAAGUGACUGAUACUAAAACAGGAAAAGUGCAGCUGUUUACCUUCAGCCAUCAGACCUCAGGUGAGGAAACAGAUGAUACAACAGCAAAAACUGUGGAAAAUGAAAGCACGACACCAAACAACAAAUCGUCUGAAGAUUCACAACAUGAUUUUGUAUCUUUGAGGUUCAUAAUUGUCUCUGUGGGAUUGGCAGCACUUUCAAUAACAGCUGUGACAGUCAACAUGUGGACAAAAACUAAAGGGAAGAAAACACAGAUGGAUAAAAACACAGUACAUUAUGAUAGAGAUGAAGAUGUUUCAAUCAACUAUGAAAAUGUGGGAGACUCUGCUGUUUCUAUCAGAGUGCACUGAUCAACAACUUGCUCAUAAAAUCGCUGCUGUUAUAUUAUCAGUAUCAUCGCAUCUGGUUUUACACAUUAAAUAUCUUAGAGAUGUUAGAUAUUAUAUGUCAAUUUGAACGUGUGUGUGUGUGUGUUUUGUGUGUGUGUGUGUGUGCGUAUGUGCGUAUGUGUUUCAUGGUAUUUUUGUUUUUCAAGAUGUUUUUUAAGUUUCUAAUUAUCUUGUAUUUUGUCCAGUUUACAUUUUAUAACAUGUCUUUAAUUAUCUUUGAAUAGAAUCUGUAUAAAUAUUCUGUUUAUUAUUGUUUAUGAUCAUUUCAUCUAAAUAUUAAAACCAAUUUCAAUCCAGUUUCAGUGUUUGUUGCAAGUGAAACUGUAUUUGUGCAAAAUAAAUAACUAUUUUCACAGUUU